AAUAGGAGAAUGACAAAUCAGAUUUUUCCUCCUGAUUUUUUGUUUUUUAUUCCUGAAAAAAUUUAAAUUUAACUAAAAAUGCUAAAAAUCAGGAGGAAAAAUAUGAUUUAUCAUUCUCCUAUU
rfam:Gossypium raimondii Chr04_contig_702, whole genome shotgun sequence.